UAGCUCAGUUGGUAGAGUGCUUGCCUUGAAUGCAUAAGGCCCUGGGUUCAAUCCCUAG
rnacentral:tRNA from 1 species